rnacentral:ncRNA from 1 species
UCCCUCAAUAAACUUUACUCAGGAAAGUUCUAAUUCUUUUUUAACCGUCAUCCUUAGUACAGACAGACUGAUUGGGUGCUAAAAUCCAAAGUCGAGAGGGAAACAGCCCAGAUUGUAUGCUAAGGUCCCUAAGCAAUCACUUAGUGGAAAAGGAAGUAAUCGAGCAAUGACAACCAGGAGGUGGGCUUGGAAGAAGCCAUCCUUUGAAGAAAGCGUAAUAGCUCACUGGUCUAGCUCCAUGGCACCGAAAAUGUCUCAGGGCUCAAGUGAUUCACCGAAGCGACGAGACCUUGAAAGCAGGUUUUUCAAGUAUCAGUAGUGGGACGUUCUGUCAAUCGUCUUAGGGAGAUUUAGUUCGGGGAAAGGGGAAGGG